rnacentral:rRNA from 1 species
CCUACGGGAGGCAGCAGUGAGGAAUAUUGGUCAAUGGGCGGAAGCCUGAACCAGCCAAGUAGCGUGCAGGAAGAAGUAUUUCGGUAUGUAAACUUCUAUCAGCAGGGAAGAAAAUGACGGUACCUGACUAAGAAGCCCCGGCUAACUACGUGCCAGCAGCCGCGGUAAUACGUAGGGGGCAAGCGUUAUCCGGAUUUACUGGGUGUAAAGGGAGCGUAGGCGGCGAUGCAAGUCAGAAGUGAAAGCCCGGGGCUCAACUCCGGGACUGCUUUUGAAACUGUAUGGCUAGAUUGCAGGAGAGGCAAGUGGAAUUCCUAGUGUAGCGGUGAAAUGCGUAGAUAUUAGGAGGAACACCAGUGGCGAAGGCGGCUUGCUGGACUGUAAAUGACGCUGAGGCUCGAAAGCGUGGGGAGCAAACAGGAUUAGAUACCCUAGUAGUC